GUCACCCUGGACUGUAGGUGCAGCUGUAGCUGGUGGUGUUGGUGCACUUGCUGCAACCCCUGUUGUCUUGACUGCAGCUGGUUUUACUACGGCUGGCAUAGCAGCAGCUUCGGUUGGAUCAGCCAUGAUGUCUGCAUCUGCAACUGCUAGUGGUCCAGUUGGAGUUGUUGCUGGUGGUCUUGUAGCUACUCUUCAAUCAGCUGGUGCAGCAGGAUUGGGCUGGGCAGGAUCUGCUGCUGUAGGAACUACUGGAGCUGUGGCUGGAGCCGCCUGUCGCAAAGUAAUGGAAUAUGUUA